GAAAAUAAUAAAACUGUAUGUUGCAGAAAGUGUUUUUUUCAUUACAGUUUUUGGUGCUGGGCAACGGUAGAUCACUAUGGCUUCUGUACCGUGAAAUGAAGCUUAUGAUGAAAUACUGAUGCUUGGCCAAUCUCACCAACGGGAUAUAAUAAGAACUGAUGCAGGUUUAUAACAUGUAUUGUCUAUCCGGAACAAAGUUAGUUUAUAUCGAAGUUCGAUUUUCUCCAGAUACAGGCAACUUACCCAACUUCGAAAGUAGAGCGCUGGAUUCGCCUGAAGAUGCGCUAAACAACACAUCA